rnacentral:rRNA from 1 species
GACGAACGCUGGCGGCGGGCCUAAUACAUGCAAGUAGGACGCAGUUGCGAACGGGUGAGUAAGGAGUAGGUAACUACAUAUUAGAGGGGAAUAACUAUUGGAAACGAUAGCUAAUACCGCAGACUAGUAGAUGGACCUGCGUUGUAUUAGCUAGUAGGUAGGGUAAUGGCCUACCUAGGCAACGAUACAUAGCCGACGUUGGAAGGAGGACCGCCACGCCUGGACUGGAACACGGGUCAGGCUCCUUCCGGAGGCAACAGUAGGGCAACUUUGGGAAUGGGGGGCACCCUGAACGCGCAAGGCCGCGUGAGUGGAAGAGGUUUUCGGAUCGUUAAACUCUGUUGUGAAGGAAGCGUUACUUAACCAGGAAGGGACGGCUAACUACGUGCCAGCAGCCGCGGUAAUAC